AUUGAACGCUGGCGGCAGGCCUAACACAUGCAAGUCGAGCGGAUGAAGGGAGCUUGCUCCUGGAUUCAGCGGCGGACGGGUGAGUAAUGCCUAGGAAUCUGCCUGGUAGUGGGGGAUAACGUCCGGAAACGGGCGCUAAUACCGCAUACGUCCUGAGGGAGAAAGUGGGGGAUCUUCGGACCUCACGCUCUCAGAUGAGCCUAGGUCGGAUUAGCUAGUUGGUGGGGUAAAGGCCUACCAAGGCGACGAUCCGUAACUGGUCUGAGAGGAUGAUCAGUCACACUGGAACUGAGACACGGUCCAGACUCCUACGGGAGGCAGCAGUGGGGAAUAUUGGACAGUGGGCGAGAGCCUGAUCCAGCCAUGCCGCGUGUGUGAAGAAGGUCUUCGGAUUGUAAAGCACUUUAAGUUGGGGGGAAGGGCAGUAAGUUAAUACCUUGCUGUUUUGACGUUACCAACAGAAGAAGCACCGGCUAACUUCGUG
rnacentral:rRNA from 1 species